rnacentral:rRNA from 3 species
CAAUAGCGUAUAUUAAAGUUGUUGUGGUUAAAAAGCUCGUAGUUGGAUCUCGGCGGACUGAGGGCGGUUUGCUUGCUAGUAUUACUGCCCUAUAGUCCGUAGUUUUGCCAGAGGUUUCGGGGUGCUCUUAAUCGAGUGUCCCGGGAUGCUGGCAGGUUUACUUUGAAAAAAUUAGAGUGCUCAAAGCAGGCUAUUACGCCUGAAUAUUCGUGCAUGGAAUAAUAGAAUAGGAAGUCGUUUCUAUUUUGUUGGUUUUCGGAAAUCGACUUAAUGAUUAAUAGGGACAGUCGGGGGCAUUUGUAUUCAAACGACAGAGGUGAAAUUCUUGGACCGUUUGAAGACAAACUACUGCGAAAGCAUUUGCCAAGAAUGUUUUCAUUAAUCAAGAACGAAAGUUAAAGGUU